rnacentral:rRNA from 1 species
CAGCAGUGGGGAAUAUUGCACAAUGGGCGAAAGCCUGAUGCAGCAACGCCGCGUGAGUGAUGAAGGCCUUCGGGUCGUAAAGCUCUGUCUUCGGGGACGAUAAUGACGGUACCCGAGGAGGAAGCCACGGCUAACUACGUGCCAGCAGCCGCGGUAAUACGUAGGUGGCAAGCGUUGUCCGGAUUUACUGGGCGUAAAGGGAGCGUAGGCGGAUACUUAAGUGGGAUGUGAAAUACCCGGGCUCAACCCGGGUGCUGCAUUCCAAACUGGGUAUCUAGAGUGUGGGAGAGGAAAGUGGAAUUCCUAGUGUAGCGGUGAAAUGCGUAGAGAUUAGGAAGAACACCAGUGGCGAAGGCGACUUUCUGGACCAUAACUGACGCUGAGGCUCGAAAGCGUGGGG